GACGAACCGUGCGAACGUUAUUCGGAAUCACUGGGCUUAAAGCGCGUGUAGGCGGGGCGGGGCGUCGGCCGCUGAAAUCCCCCGGCUCAACCGGGGAAGGGGCGCCGAGACGACCGCCCUGGAGCGACGUAGGGGGGACUGGAACUUCCGGUGGAGCGGUGAAAUGCGUUGAGAUCGGAAGGAACGCCCGUGGCGAAAGCGAGUCCCUGGACGUCGGCUGACGCUGAGACGCGAAAGCCAGGGGAGCGAACGGG
rnacentral:rRNA from 1 species